UUUUUCCAGCUAGACUGUGGGGAACUUUUAAAAAUAGUAUUCAAACUGAUACACACACUUCACACUAGACGAAAGGGAAGAUGGCUCUGGUUUGCUAGUGCAAGCCAAUACAGCUAGAAUGGGUCCCUGGAUUCUUACCUCAGUCUGUUCCUACGGUCUCCCUAGGCCAUGUGUAUGUGUCCUGUCUUCAUAGCAUAGGUAGGAGAUGGGAGAUAACUGAGAAGAUUGAUGAAGACAGAUCAAAUACGUUUCCUCAGCUGUCUCCUACUACAGUUUUUAAGUUCUUUUAAUCGGUCUUGUGGCAAUGUGAGCUAAGAGGUGUGCAGAGAUGAUCACCCUUGGGUUUAGCAAUGUUCCUAGAACCUCAAAUGACCACAUAGUUAGAGGUCUGUAAUAUUCCCAUAUUAAGGACAGUCUUGGCAGCCAUUCCUAUUGUAGUAGCUACAAGAUAACAGGUCCUUCUUUAUCUAAAGGUUUCCAAAUUCUCCCUAUGCAAGUUCUUCCAGUAAACUAGGGUUUGGUAAUUAUGCCUGUGUUCUAACAGUGCUAUCAAGAUAAUGGGAUGGGGGGAUGGCGAAGUGAAGGAGAAAGGAGGAAAAGGAGGGAGAGGAAAAGAGGGAGUAAGAAGAUGGGGAGGAGAGGAAGAGGGGCCAGAGGAAGGAAAGAAGGAAGGAAGGGCGGGAGGGAAGAAAUGAGCGAGAGAAGGAGAAAGGGAGGAGGCAGGGAAGCAAAGGUAGGAACAGAGAAAACCAUGGCCCAACUUCUUGACCCAGGAACCUCUUGGUUCAGCUAUGAUGUCAUAGUAUAACAAGUGAAACCCAAGCAUGGAGACAGCAGCUUUCCGAGUGAUUCCCCCCCCCCCCCCCCCCCCCGUUAACAGGAAUAUCAACACACCCUCUAUCUGGACAGUCCGAGGCUCUAAGCCUGCAGCCUUGUGCCUUUCACAAACAUUAGCCGGGGACAACGGUGACUAAAACCUACUCCCAAGGUUUUAAAAUAGUUCUUCUUAAAAGUUAUUUAUUUCAUAUUCAAUCAGCUUUCCUAGAGCCAGUAAGGCUGUGAACUCCCACAUGACCUGUACUGUCUAGGAGGAGGUGGCCACUUGCUGCUCCAGAGCACACAGACCUUUAGGGGUUGAUCCAGCAUGGACAUUGACUAUCUGAGGGAAUCACUGCUCCUCUAAGCAAGGAUGCUGAGAGCCUCUGAGACCCUCCCUGCCCUUUGCACUCAAAUCCUCUGAGCAAUGAUGAAGGGCUCCUGAUUUUUCCAGAAAUGGGAGUUUUUGGUUUUGCUUUCUCUCUCUCCUUUUUCAUGUAAAACUAUCAGCACACAAGCUUGUCUCUUCUCCUAGGCUCACAGAACUGUCUGCCUCUUGUUCAUUAUUUAACAUUCAGGGGAGUUUUGGAGUUUUUUUUAACCAGACAGAGAAGCCCUUUGGAAAUAAGGAAAGUUGUAAACUUUUUUUUCCUGAUCCUAAAUCACCACAGUAAGACAUCUGGGCAAAAGGGACAGAAGUGAAGCGGGAGGUGAAUAUCCAUGAUGAGUUUCUCUUCUUUAAGAGAAAAGUAUGCUUCUCCCCAGCCCCUCGCUGCAUUUCCCACAUAAAGUGUGCUAGGGCACAAUUUGCUGUCAGAUAUAAAGAAAAUUAGAGUCCCGAAUAGUCUAACACAAACCUGCAGGGAGGUUCAGAGGCAAAUACUUCCGAGACUUCUCUAGACAGAGGACAACAACAGACAUGAAGAGUCAGGGUCCUGGAAAAAGAUGGUCCCAUAGUGAUGAGAGCAUGUUCAGGUGUGCCCGGAGGUCCUCACUAGGUGAGGACAAUCUGUAAAGAAUUGGUUUCAAGACAGGAAGGAAUCCAAGAAGGCCUUUGUGGCUGUCUGCCAGGGAUAUUGUUCUAGGAUCCACUAAAUCCAAUAAGCAUGAGUGUACUCCCUUCUGAUCAUAAGGAAUCAAUGGUACUCCCACAAUCAACCCCCUGCAGGGCUAACCACUGGGUACCAUGAUGGGCACCAGGAGGCUGUGCUUCCUCUGGAUGGUUUAGAUGGCCUCAUGUGCAAAGAAGCACAGUAAGGAGACCCACGAAUGCUCUUUAAAUGUUUUCCAAAGGAGCAAGACUCACACUGCUCCCAAGGCUCAGUUCCAAUGACCUUGUCAAAAGGACCAAGGGCAAAGGAUUGCUGGGAAAUCAACUCUCGUUGGAACACAAAGCAGUGUUCUGGAAAGAUCAAGACAUCAAGCAUGGUUCUUCCGGCCUCUGUGUGGUGGUGUUUUCAUAUUGGUCUCCUUUGCUCGGUGUAAUCUGAGAGAAAUGUGGCUCACUGGGAGAGCAAAGAAGCAAUGGCUAAAAUACCAAAGUUGGCAUGUGUCCUUUUUUAAAGAAAAAUGCAUAUAUUUUUAAAUAAAAUGUUUAUUUUAAA
ensembl:lncRNA